UACGAAGGGGGCUAGCGUUGUUCGGAUUUACUGGGCGUAAAGCGCGUGUAGGCGGACUUGUAAGUUGGGGGUGAAAUCCCGAGGCUCAACCUCGGAACUGCCUCCAAAACUACAAGUCUGGACUCAAGUAGAGGCAAGUGGAAUUGCGAGUGUAGAGGUGAAAUUCGUAGAUAUUCGCAGGAACACCAGUGGCGAAGGCGACUUGCUGGACUUGUAGUGACGCUGAGACGCGAAAGCGUGGGGAG
rnacentral:rRNA from 1 species